GAACGCUCCGGCUCGCUAGCCUGACUGACCCGGGAAAGGCCCUCAACCCAGGUGUCUGGGGUCCGCGAUGCCAAGACCCUGCGAUUCCACCGCCCCCCCUUGUCGUACUUUUCCUUUACCAGCCUGCGUUGUCCUUUAAAGUGGUUGCCGAGUGUGUUCUCAACACACAGUAAUCCAACGGCGACUGAAGGAGUAGCGUGGUAGGCCAGUGGCGCAAGGGAUAACGUGUCUGACCACGCAUCAGAAGAUUGUAGGUCCAGCUCCUGCCUGGCUCGGCAUUAUUGUCACUUGAGGUUAACAAACCAGAAAUCAUUACCUCCUCUGGCGUCCCCAAACCGCGAAUGCCAGCAGUUUGGAUUUCUGCAGUGUCCGUUGCACUUUGAGCCCGGGAGGCCUUACCAGCGCCACCGGUCCAACUCCCGCGGGGUGAAGGGAAGGCCCCGAGGGUCUCGGAACGCCCCCGGCAGGCAAGCCGGGUUAGGAAGACGCCACUGAAGCCCGGGGUUCUGUAGACAGAGCUGGUUCCACCGCAUCUACUAAGACAUCAGAGUCACUAAGUUCCUAGAGAAAGUCCCCUCACCAACCCCCGGCCCAGCCACAGAACCUAAGAUGACAGAAGGAAGUAUUUCCUCCCCUACAGUUUGUGUAAAGAAAGUUUGUCCUCUUCUAGGUAGGUAACUCCACAAAUAUGGAAUGAAGAUUGACUGCAUUAUUCACCCAAAUGCAAUCCUGAAUUAUAUGCCAAAUCACUACAUCAAAAGAUAUUUAAUGAGACCAAGCCCCAGCCUACCUCCCCUUUGAAGGGGGUUAACAUUUGUACUACUGGGAGAUGGCAAGGCCAACCCAUCUCAUUCCCAGGGCUCUGUAAGUCCUGAAAGCUCACUUGCAGUCUUCCAUGCUCGGGGAAGUGGGAGCAUCAUCUUGCUCAUACAGCAUCUUUCCGAAAGGUAUGAUUGGUGGUGGUGGGAGGGUGUGGCCAGGAGGUUUUCUUCAGAGACUCACAUUUAUUCUUUUAUUUAAAUGUUUAUUUAGUCUGUACUAUGUGCUAGGCAUUGUUCUAGAGCUGAGGAUAAGGAUACAGCAGUAAGCAAAGCAGACAGAAAUCUCUAUCUUGGUGAAGCACACAUUCUGGAAGGGUAAAUAGACAAUAAGAAGACAAUAAAUAAUAUAUACAGUAGGCUGUACAGUAAUGAAUGCCAAAGAGAAAAAUAAAGCACAGUAGAGCAGGAGUGUGGCAGGUGUUGUGCUUCCUAUAAUGGCAAAAUGACACAGAUGACCGGAAGCAAAAUAAAUUGCUUAUGGUAUAUAGACAUCUAUGUAUAUAUACACACAUGCACACACCACACACAUAUAUUCAUACACAUAUAC
rnacentral:lncRNA from 1 species